AAAUUUAGGUUAUUCAAACCAAAGGCCUUCAAAGCCUUAAAUAGGCCUAAUUUCUG
rnacentral:tRNA from 1 species